GACGAACGCUGGCGGCGUGCUUAACACAUGCAAGUCGAACGGACAGACAGAGAGCUUGCUCUCUUGAAGCUAGUGGCGAACGGGUGAGUAACGCGUAAUCAACCUGCCCUUCAGAGGGGGAUAACAACGGGAAACCGUUGCUAAUACCGCGUACGAUUCAUGAACGGCAUCGUUUAUGAAUGAAAGGUGGCCUCUAUGUAUAAGCUAUCGCUGAAGGAGGGGAUUGCGUCUGAUUAGCUAGUUGGAGGGGUAACGGCCCACCAAGGCAAUGAUCAGUAGCCGGUCUGAGAGGAUGAACGGCCACAUUGGGACUGAAACACGGCCCAAACUCCUACGGGAGGCAGCAGUGGAGAAUCUUCCGCAAUGGACGAAAGUCUGACGGAGCAACGCCGCGUGAGUGAUGAAGGUCUUCGGAUUGUAAAGCUCUGUUAAUCGGGACGAAAGAGUUCUGCGUGAAUAAUGCAGAAAAGUGACGGUAUCACCUAAAGAAGCCCCGGCAAACUUCGUGCCAGCCGCCGCCGUAA
rnacentral:rRNA from 1 species